GUAGUCAUACGCUCGUCUCAAAGAUUAAGCCAUGCAUGUGUAAGUAUAAAUAAUUUUACUUUGAAACUGCGAAUGGCUCAUUAUAUCAGUUAUAGUUUAUUAGAAAUAUUUUACUACUUGGAUAACCGUAGUAAUUCUAGGGCUAAUACAUGAGUAAAACCUCAACUUCGGAAGAGGUGUGUUUAUUAGUAUGAAAACCAUAUAUCUUCGGAUAUAAUAGUGAGUAAUAAUAACCUUUCAUAUCGUAUGUCGUAAGAUAACGAUAGUUCUUUCAAGUUUCUGCCCUAUCAGCUUUCGAUGGUAGUAUAUGGGACUACCAUGGCAGUAACGGGUAACGAAGAAUUUGGGUUCGAUUUCGGAGAGGGAGCCUGAGAGAUGGCUACCACAUCCAAGGAAGGCAGCAGGCGCGUAAAUUACCCAAUCCUGACAUAGGGAGGUAGUGACAAUAAAUCACAAUGCGGAACUUUUAG
rnacentral:rRNA from 1 species